GUGGGGAAUUUUGGACAAUGGGCGCAAGCCUGAUCCAGCAAUGCCGCGUGCAGGAAGAAGGCCUUCGGGUUGUAAACUGCUUUUGUACGGAACGAAACGGUCCGGGUUAAUACCCUGGGCUAAUGACGGUACCGUAAGAAUAAGCACCGGCUAACUACGUGCCAGCAGCCGCGGUAAUACGUAGGGUGCAAGCGUUAAUCGGAAUUACUGGGCGUAAAGCGUGCGCAGGCGGUUUUGUAAGACAGGCGUGAAAUCCCCGGGCUCAACCUGGGAAUUGCGCUUGUGACUGAAAGGAUGGAGUGCGGCAGAGGGGGAUGGAAUUCCGCGUGUAGCAGUGAAAUGCGUAGAUAUGCGGAGGAACACCGAUGGCGAAGGCAAUCCCCUGGGCCUGCACUGACGCUCAUGCACGAAAGCGUGGGGAGCAAACAGGAUUAGAAACCCGUGUAGUCC
rnacentral:rRNA from 1 species